rnacentral:lncRNA from 1 species
CUAUUAUUUCUGUUGAUGUAUAGUUUAGUUGGUUUAUAUGGUUCAGUAUUUCAUUACAUUAAAAUAAAAGGAUUUCUGGAUUUUGUAAAAUAAAAGGUUUUCUACCCCUCGUGGUAGCGUUUUUAAAAGAUAAAAGUUUCCGUGUAGGGAGCAGUUUUUAAAAGGUUUUCUGUGAAUUUUGUAUCUCAGUAUUUCAAAACCUGUUUCUAAGUUGAAAAUAUUUUAACUGAUAGAUGUGGAUUUAUGAUUAAAUAUUGAAUAUAUUAAUGUGAACCUGUGAUGUGAAUGGUGUAUGAAUAUAUAAUUGUUGGUUAUUUGUAUAUUCAUUUGGUUGUGGUUGUACCUGGAUUGCUUCUUGUACUUGUGCGACGCCGUGCAAAUACAGGGGAGACUCUGUCCGUGUGCACAGUGGAUUCCCUGUAUUUGUGGCGGAUCUGGCAUACUCUGGGGUCAGGUUUUCAAAAAAAAAAAAAUUCAGACGCUUUUCCGCUAUCUCUUAAACUGAAAGGGACCCCGGGGCGUGACAGAAGCACGGAAGGCUCCAUGCUUCCAGAAGCAUACCAGCUCACGCUAUAUAUAUAUAAUUGAGCUAGAAUACUUUUAGGGUGCGUUUGGUUCGAGUUAUCCUGGUAGGAUUAUAGGCAAUCUUGUCAGGAUACUGUAUUUGGUUCAUCCGCUACGUAAUCUAGUCGUUAAUAUAACAUUACAAAUCGAGCAGGAUUACACCGAAAAUAUUAACGAGAGGAAGGUCGUGUAUCUUGUAUUACUAAAAAUCGAUAAUACUACAUAUUAUGUAAAAUGACAAUUUUACCCUCCAACACCUCCAAACCCAAUUAAGAGUAUUGUUUUCAACUCUCUCACGCCCUCCCCCCUCUCUCUCGCAUGCCGCUCUCUCUCUCGCACGCCGCUCUCUCUAUCUCAAUAUCUAUCUCUUUUUCUCUCUCUCACGAACACCUAUCAUCUUCUAUUGUGUCGUCCUCCCAGGUAAUCAUCACGAUCUCCUUCCCUCCAUUCGCCAUUUCCGCGUUCCGACCGGCCGCACCAUUCCGCUGCCGGAGCGCCCGCCGUCCGGCCGCCGGCAACCAACCCUAGCUCCCUCGGGUUUGGUAAGUAGUAAAUUAGUCUGUAGCGCACUGUUUGAGGGUUCCGGUCACCUUUCCGGUGAUCCGAUGACUCCCCGACACCCAGGGAAGUAAGCACGAUGAUCUAGGAUUCGUGCUGAACAUCGUGCUCACCUCCGUCAGGGUCAGAGGUGCCGAGGUUGGUGUAUUAGACUCGAUUAGGUGACAGUGCGCACUGUUUCGCUGAAGUUCACAUGGCUCGUACGCUUCCCACAGUGGCCGGCAGUGCUUCGAAAGGUGAGCACGGCCUCCAGCAUGCCGAGACCUGUCAGUAGGCAUCUCGGUUUGGCUGAGUGACUUCUUGUUUGUGUAGACGGACCAUAAAAGCACCGAAAUCGCAUGAAAUAAUGCGAUUUUGGGUAAUCGGGAGGGCUUUUAUGUAUGUUGGUUCAUCGUGGCUGUUGUUGGCAGCAUGUGCGGGUAGUGGGUAACCUCUGGACUGAUUGUCCAAGGCCCCGGACCUUUGCGAAGAUCGGAAAUGCAUUUCCGGUGCGUUUGUCGGCAAAAUCCGCCUACAGAACGCGGUUUUAGUUCGAAAUUCAUCCGACGGUGCCUCGUGAGCAUUUGUUGAGUCACUGAGCCUUGUUGGCUGGUCACUCGCGUCAUUUCGAGAGUUCAGAAAUGACGGGUGAGCGACGGUGGGUUCCGGUGUCGAAAUCGAUACUUCCGGGAACCCGGAUCGGAACGAUUAUCCAACGAUAAUCGUUUCGGAGUGAGUUAAGGUCUUUGCUGCCAAGUCACACAUAAAUUUGUAUUUAGUGGCAGCGAGUGACUCGUGGCAUGAGUCGGUGAGUUCCGGGACAGUCCGUGGGUCCCGGCGGAGUCUCGGUGCAAUUACGGGAUUUCCAGCGUAUUACGGCGAUCGGUUUGGGAACCCGAUUCUCGUGGGUUUAUUUGUGGGGUUAUGCUUUUAGGGUUUCUUAGUUGUGGGUUAGAUACUAACCCGGUGGACCUUCCUUAGGUCCGGUUGACGUUCUUUCCCAGUCAGGAGACAGGCACGACAUCCUUACAGGUGGGUACUUCGAUCCGACGUCGGUACAGUGGUGCACGCUCGGUGACGCUUCUUCACCCCUACUGUUUACUCUACCUUACAGUUAUAUUGAACCUUGCACCUGCAUUUAUAUCUGCAUUCCUCUACUCAGUUAUUUUCAUGUCGAUAUCAUGCUUAGAAGUAGAGUUGACUUAUCUGUUCACUAUAUCUGUGGUUGGGCGGUUCCCCUAUUUUGAUAUCUAUGAUCUAUUCGGUCGAGUUGCUACAGUUCUAUCUUGACAUACGUAGCCGACUAGUUGCUGAUGACCUAUACGGUCGAUGUGCCCUGAGGGGCUGGAUUGUCGGCUAGUUGCCGAUGGAAGAUCUUUGAGCAUACUACAUUGAUCGCCACUCCAGGUACGCAUUUCACGAACACCAGCGGUCUGAUCCACCGCAAGAGGGUGUUCUUUUCCGGAAAAGUGGUUGGAUUGCCAACCCAUGAGCCCAGGGGCUUUAUUGCGAGGGUAUAUGCUUCUGACCCAGGGGCUUCAUUGCGAGGGUCAGGUACAGGGUGAGUAGUAGUGGCACAGGCUUGAGGUUCAGAUGCAGACCAACAGAGCAGCAGAUUUCAGAUUGGGUAUAUUUGGUCUUUACAUCCAGUUGACGCAUAUGCCUAUAGUAGCAGUCGUUGCAUGCAUACUUACAGUUCUUGCUUUAUAAUUGUCUUGCUACUAUAGUAGAUAUUCAUGUAUGCUUUCUGUUCCAGUUAUAGUAGCGGUAGCCGUUAUUCAGUCUAGUUCCUACUUUCUUUCAGUUUAUUGCUACUGUAUUCAGUAUAUCUGCUCAUUACCUUAUACAUCUCUUUCGUUUAUUAUUGUUCCUACUGUAUUUUCCACUGACCGGUGUUGUUGUAUAGCUCUUCCUGAUCCGGUGAGUACUCCUCGCCUUCUUCGGCUUGCGGUACCCACUGGGAGGGGAGACAUGUUUACAUGUUCUCACCUCCCCCACUAUUUUUUUUUAGGUAUCGCGGGCGGUGAGGGUUGAGACGAGACGUGAAAUACGUAGCGGUCGAUAGAGCUUCCCACCCAGGUUAUUCGGUUUAAGUUCUACCCUUACUAUUAUGUUGAUAUAUAGCUUAGAUAGUUUAUAUGGUUCAGUAUUUAUUUACAUUUGAAAAUAUGGAUUUUCAUGAAUGUAAUAAAAGAAUUUCUGGAUUUUGUAAAAUAAAAGGUUUUCUACCCCUCGUGGUAGCGUUUUAAAAAAAAGAUAAAAGUUCCUGUGAAGGGAACAGCUUUCAAAAGGUUUUCUGUGGAUUUUGUAUCUUAGUAUUUCAAAACCUAUUUCUGUGGUUGAAAAUAUUUUAACUGAUAGAUGUGGAUUUAUAUUUAAAUAUCGAAUGUAUUAAUGUGAAUCUGUGGUGAAUGGUGUAUGAAUGUAUAUCUGUUGGUCAUUUGUAUAUUCAUCUGGUUGUGGUUGUAUAAUAUUUGAACUCUUGUACUUGUGCGACGCCGUGCAAAUACAAGGG